rnacentral:rRNA from 1 species
CAGUCAUGUUGGUAGGGAAUCAACUUAGGGGAAACUCUGAGUGCACUUCUUCGCUUGGCAGGUUAGCGUCGAUUUUGGAUGUCAUAAAAUGACUGGGGGAAGGUAGCUCUUUCGGGAGUGUUAAGCCCUUUGUAGAUGUGAUGUCUGGGAUCGAGGAUUGCAACGGAUACCCUUUGGGCUAGCCGCCUAGUCUCUAAUACGAAGUUGGGUUAUGGACAGCACGCUGACUGUGAUCUGAUUUUCGGUUAAAAGAUUAGAGCGAGCAUAAA